CUGCAUUCUAAAAGAAACCAUUACAAAAAUAAGGAAAAAUGAAUUUUACAAACUAUGUCAUAUGUUUUCUUUGUUUCCUCAAUAUAACUCUGAUUAGAAUGUCAAACAAAGAUAAAAUCAUCCGUAUUAAUAGUCAAUAUCGUGUAUAUUAUUAAUAUGAGCGUCUUUGCGUUAAAUUCGUGCUACACCACACCAUGCACUUAUAUCGACGUCGCAAUGCAAAAGAAGAAGGGCAAGAAAGAAACCUGUCCUGGUCUGGCGAUUUAAGGGGACAUUUGUUUAAGCCUGUCUAGAUCUUUUAUCAGUCUAGAAAGAUGUUGGAGAAAAGACAUCAUCCUCUUCUAUAAUCUCCAUCUGUAAUUGGACUAACAACUGGACCAGUCAAUGCAGGCAACUUACUCUCCAUUCGACCUUGCAGGUCACACCAUGGUCUCAAGAGGGAAAAUGAGUGCUCUAUGGAUUGAACAGAAAAAGGUGAAUCAAAACUCCAACCAUCUGUAUGAGGGUCUGGAUGGAUAAAGGAUGCCCACUGGAGCUGGAAAUGAUGGAUCAGGUGGAUCCACACUUGAACCAUCUGUAUGAUGAUCUGCACCCACUGGAUCUGUAAAUGGUGGUGCAGAAUUCUGGCCUGGUGUUUGGUCCCCCUUUCUCUGGCUUGUGUCUCCAUCAUCAUUACACUCUUGUCAGUGUAAAAGUAUCCUCGUCUGCGUACCAGGACUUUGUUACUCAGCUGUCCCUUCUCCUUCAAGCUACAUUUUUGUCAAGCUGCAACAAGUUGGAAUACAUAAUUAUUAACGUUUAAUGAUUUUGAUGUAUGAAAUAUGUAACAAAAGCAAAAAAUGUAUAGACAUUCUAUUAAGAAAUUACCUUUUUGUUGUUUGUUUACUGACCUUUCAACCAUAUUGCAUUUAUAAUUGAUCAUCAUACCUUUGGUCUACUGUUAACAGGCUACUGUAGAAAACAAAGUCAAACAAAAAAGAGAGAAAAAAUUAUAAAUGCUGAAUGUGUCUCAUCUUAAAUACAUUGUUGUUGUUUUUGUUUAAUUGAUUUUGGAUGUUUUGAUGAUUUAAGGAAAAUUUACGUAGCAUAUAUAUUGAUGUUUUAAAUCAGAGUUUGUUAAUGACACUUAAUCAUUAACAAACAUUUAAAAAGCUUUAUUACAAUACUAAUUGAUAAUAUAUAUGUAAUAAUCUUGUUUUGUAACACCCUAAAUCACUGAGCGCACAAACGCUACCCCUGUUACAAGCAUGAGUGAUUGACUUCAGGCACACAUGCGCAGACAUUGAAGUACCGCGAGAGUGAUUCAAAAGCCCACGAAACAGUGUAAUCACGCGGUACUGUGAUGUCAUACUGGUUAAGGCUAAGCCACGUGAAGCCGGACACAAGGGCUUUGGGCUGGAGUAGCCUGUGGCUUUUAAGGCUUCGUGUCUCAUCGCGUUAAACGAUCGCAGAACGAUUUAUUUCUCUUUUUCACCUCGAUCUUUGGCCUCGUGUGAUUUACCAAAACCAACAUGUGAAGUUACAACGCUGACGAAGGAGUUUCAUCAGUAGAGUGUGUCCUGGAAAACGUGUGCUCGGAAACAUGCAGAAUACAGUAUUUACAGAGCCGACCUUGAGGCACCCACUGAUGGAUAAUCUGUUUACCUAAAAACAGCCCACCACAAUCCAUGUUUACCAGCUGUGAAAGUGCAGGCCAAAAAUCUUCCUUCACCUGUGGGCCUCUACCCACAUGUAGAUAAGCAUUUCAGGAGAAACCUGCCUGUGAUCUGCUAAGAUGCACAGAUUCAACUCUGGCCCAUUGUCAUCCCAACACCUCAUCUGCCAUCAGUUUCGUUUAGUGUCGGUCUAUUGCAAAAGUUCUUAUAAACUUUAAAUGAGACUUUGUGUUAAGCAGGGGUUUCCAAACUUUUCAUUCCACAACAUAUUAAGCCCAGGAUACACAGCAGGAUUUUUGCAAUCCAAUAAGACCUUAUCACACUGUGUGACAAGGAUUGUUUAAACUUCAGCAGUAGACUGUCGAUGAAGACACCUAUUGCAUCUGAAGCUGCGACAUCUGUCAUCAACAUGCGCUAGUGGUAAACAAAUACAGGUAUGCAGGUCGUAGAAGCAAACACAUUGUUGAUGUGCGUUGAUCAUGCUGAACUUCUUACACUGUCAUAAAACUAUCGUAGGUGUCUUUGGUCCCAGGACUGGGAAAACAGACGUCUUUAAACCUCUCACACUGUAUGAGAUAGGACCACCAAUUAAGAGCCACGAUCACAGAAAUCUCCACAAUUGUUUCACGAUUGGUAAUCUUUCAUCUGGGACAGCCAAAAAUCGUGCCGUGUAUUAUGGGCUUUAGACAGGUGUAAUCUUAUAGUAUAUCAAAACCAUUGCUAAUAAUUAAUUGGACAAACCAUCACUACAAUGCAACACUCACUAUCUUACGGUGCGACCCACAAGUGGGUCUUCACCCACAGUUUAAAAACCCUGAGUAUGAGAAAGAGUAUGUUGUAUUGUAAUUAAAGUCACAUCUAAGUGUUAUGGAACAGUUUGUCAUUAUAUUCACAGUAUUACAUGGUUCUUUCAGCAGUUACUACGUUACAGUGCUCUUAAAGUGUCCUGAUCAGCUUUGGGUCUUGUGAAGUAAUGUAAUGAGAACGUGAUCAAUAGCUUUGCAGUAUUUUGUUACACUGUGGCUGUAAUCAUAUUAACACAUAGGUUAAACAUUUUAUUCAAAUUUGGUAAACAAACUAGUCAAUAUAAUUCAUGCUGUGAUGCUGGAUUAAACCUGGUCAAAUGAU